UGGGGGGAUAUUGCACAAUGGGGGGAAACCCUGAUGCAGCGACGCCGCGUGGAGGAAGAAGGUUUUCGGAUUGUAAACUCCUGUCGUUAGGGACGAUAAUGACGGUACCUAACAAGAAAGCACCGGCUAACUACGUGCCAGCAGCCGCGGUAAAACGUAGGGUGCAAGCGUUGUCCGGAAUUACUGGGUGUAAAGGGAGCGCAGGCGGGAAGACAAGUUGGAAGUGAAAUCCAUGGGCUCAACCCAUGAACUGCUUUCAAAACUGUUUUUCUUGAGUAGUGCAGAGGUAGGCGGAAUUCCAGGUGUAGCGGUGGAAUGCGUAGAUAUCUGGAAGAACACCAAAGGCGAAGGCAGUCUCCUGGGGCAAAUACUGACGCUCAUAUGCGAAAGCGUGGGUAGCAAACAGGAUUAGAUACCCUGGUAGU
rnacentral:rRNA from 1 species